UAAGAAUUCCAUGAAGUAAUCCAAAAAAAAAAAUGGCUGAAAAUUUCAAAUUUGUUUUUCGAGUGAUCAUUUUUGUUUUCCUCUUUCUUGUUGUAGUCAAAGGUAUAGCCACUACAAAUAAUUUAUCAGCUUUCAAACCAGGUAAACCAGUCUCUUUCUUUUGUUAUCUUAUAUACAAACCUUUCACCCCCAUUUUAGUAAUAUUUUUGUAUUCUUUCUUUACAUUACAGGAAAAGAAUGUGUUACUAACAAAGAUUGUCAUAAAAUUCUUCGGAAAAUUAAUGAUGUCAAACGGAAUUGCUUGAAUGGUUAUUGUCGAUACGAAAAUAAGAUGGGGUGGUGGGUCAAAUCACCCCCCUAAAUUCUAAAUUGUUUUUCUUUUCAAUAAGUGAUUUUCACAAGAGCGGUGCUAAAUAAGACAGAAAUAGAAAUUAACAAACACAAGAAUAAACAUGUGUUUUUACUUUUAUGAGCUUAAAUAUUAUAAUAUUAGCAUUUGGCGGAAAUCACCCCAUUGUUAGUGUGGAAAUCAGCGGAUGGCAUGUAUUCACAUGUUUCAUUUGCCUAGUCCUUCGUACUAUUAACCAUUUCCGUUUUCACAUAUAUUUAGCUUUUCUAUUUGUGAUUUCGUCGUCUUAGUGAGACGUUUGUGUUGGUCAUCGUCUUGUUGCGGCGUUAUUGUGUUGUCCCGUUAGGGUAUGAUGUUUGUUCGUUUUAGAUUGACAGAUUAGAUUCGACUUAGUGCAUAUUCAAUCAACGACUUUGGCGCCGUCAACGUUGCAUACUCGGAAACAUGAGUAUUUCUAGCACUUAAAUUNNNNNNNNNNNNNNNNNNNNACUUUAAUUUUUUUUUUUUUUAACCUCUAUUGUAUAGGUUCAUUUACUAGUUUUUUUUUUCUUUUUCAAACUUACUGUGAAAUUGACAAAGCUUCAUUUAGAUUUGCUCAUGUGUCAUUCUUUUAAUCUCUAUUCUUCCGUUCCAAAAUGUAAGUUACUUUGACAUUUUGAAGAGUACACGCUAUAAGUGACGACAUCGUCCCAAAAUUUAUUAGCCAUAUUUUUGCUCUUUAAAAUGCUUCUUGCCAUGUGUUGAUUAUGGAUCUUUUUAUGUAAAGAUGAUCUAUACGAUAUAAACUUUCAAUCCAACGAUGAAUUUUAUAAAAUUCGUAUUCGUUAUAAUGAAACUGUGCACCAUACACCAUAUAUCAUCUAUUUGUUCAUGGUAGAACUUGCCUGCUCUUGAGGUGGAUUUGUAAUUGAAAAACUCUCAUUUUUGGAUUAAUCAAUCAUGAGAUUUAGUAUUUAUAACAUGAAUGAAAGUUAUGCAUUAUUAUAAAGAAUUAAAGAUGUUGUCCGAUUGAUGCCUAUAGAACAAACACAAGAUAAUUUCAAUUUAAUCUUGAACUCUAUUAAUUUAUAUAUUUUUCAGACUUUUCCUCAAAACUUUCAAAUUUUCAUUUUUGAUAUCAUUUUUGGUGUUUGCAUGCUUCAGAGUUUCGAAGUCUCAUAAUUGAUUGUGAUUUAUUUGCAAUGUAAAACGUUUAACACCAACAAAGUAUAUAAAAAUUAAACUCAUUUUAAAAUGUAUGAUAUAUGCUUAUCCAUGCAUUACUUCACGUGUCUGCCUCUGAGGCAAAGAUUUUGGAUAAUUAUAGACCAUGUACCAAUGCUACUGAGCAUAUAAUAUAAACACCUUAUAUAUAAUUUAACAUAAUUACUCAAAUGUAAAGUUUUCCAAUUCUUAGACAAUAAGUGCUUUAGGAAAUUAGGUACAAAGUAGUAGUUAUAAUAAAUUGUUUAUUAUUCGAAUCUUCCAAUGUUUAUAAUUUUGUUUUUGUAUUUUUGUUGAUAGGUUGAGUAUGACUCCAAUGUGCAUGUCACAUAUAUUUAGCUUUUCUUUUUGUGAUUUCGUCGUCUUAGUGAGACAUUUUUGUUGGUCGUCGUCUUGUUGUGGCGUUAUUGUGUUGUCCCGUUAUGGUACAAUGUUUGUUCGUUUCGGAUUAACAGAUUAGAUUCGACUCAGUGCAUAUUCAAUCAAUGACUUUGACGCCAUCAACGUUGCAAACUUGGAAACAUGGGUAUUCCGAACACUUCAAUUUCGUAAUUUUUGUAGGCUUUGUUUGUAGGCGUUUUACCAUCGUAUGUUAUUAACGUGGAAGCUGUGACUUUGUUCACAAAUUCAUCUUUGCCAGUUUUUAGCGAUUUUGAAUUGU
rnacentral:lncRNA from 1 species